rnacentral:misc_RNA from 1 species
AAGUCGUAACAAGGUUUCCGUAGGUGAACCUGCGGAAGGAUCAUUAGAGAUAUUCGAGAUAUUCGAAAAUAUAACAUUUCAAUGUUAACCACUUUGUGAAUCGAACCCAUUUUUUAGACGCUCAUUGUUGAUGUAUGCAAAAAAUCGAGUUGAUUUUACUAGAAAAAAACAACUUUCAGCAACGGAUCUCUUGGCUCUC